rnacentral:lncRNA from 1 species
GUGCUGAUUGGACUAUUCAAAAAAGUAAGAAUCCUCGAAGAUAAUUGGCAAGUACAUAAAGAACUGAAACAAAUCAGAAAAUCCUUCUUGGUUUCUGAUAUGACUUGAAUUCUGCAUAUUCAAAUAUUGUAUACAGUAUUUAAUGCAACAUCGAAACAUUAAAUUAAUAUUCAGAUAAAGUGGAAUGUAAAUAAAACGAAAAAAUUUACAUACAUAAUUUUUAUUUAAAUUUAAAUACAAAACAAAAUUGAAUUUUACAUUUGAAAAUUUGGAUACUGUGCUAUUCAUAAGCAUAGCAUUUAGGUAAUAUUUGCUGUUGGCCCAAUUAUUUUGGAUCUGUCCUUUGAUUGUUUUAGCAAUCAUACCAUUUUCUAACGAAGAAGCUUUUGUUAAACAUAUGGUAUUGGGAGAAUGCUAUGAGAAUUUUUGAGUUGCUGCACACCUAUAUGCUGAAAGAUAUUCACAAUACACACAUCGUUCUCAAUAUAUUUUUUGACAUUUGGUGACUCAUGGACAGACUUUAUCAGGUUAACCAAUAUGAACUGCAAUCAAUAGAUCAGGAUAUCAGUGAGAGAUGUUCAUGCAGUUGAUGUUCUUUCUAGUUUUGCUUUGACUCUUCAUAAUUUUACCAGAAGCAUAGCAUCAGAGUUUGGCAUAGGCCAUAUGACAGUGUGGAGAAUUCUACAGAAUAGCAGCUUCUGUCCAUAUCAAAUCCACCAACAUUAACAGUUUAGAACAAUAAUUUUGAGGUCCAUGUGGACUUCUGCAAUUUGUUUGUAACCAAAACCAAUAGAUUUCAACUUCAAAUUCUGUGGACUGAUGAGGCAACAUUCAAAACCCUAAUGCUGAAGAAUAUAGCACUGGUAACAUGAAGAAUUAUGUUGAUGCAACAUGAUGGCUAUCCAGCUCAUUUCUCAUUUGGCUGUUUGGCAUGCAGCCAAUCAUAUUUUUUCUGGAUGAUAGAUUGGGAAAGGAAGUCCCAUGGCAUGGCUACCUCAAUCUCUAGAUUUAUCACAACUGCACAAUUUAUAGAGUUGGGUAAGAGAAAUCAUGUACUAAGAUUGUCUAACAACACAAGAUGACAUGAACAGUGAAAUUGGAAAAAUUUCUGCUUUUUAUCAUUCGUGCAGAAGUCCUUUGAGUUAUAAACAGUAUCAGAAGUAGACUUAGCAGAUGAUUGGAUGUAGGUGACAGACAAUUGUAACAUUUUUUGUAAUGCAUCAGGCUAAGGGAGACUUUCCAAACAAGUAUAAUUCCAUAGGAAUACAUCUUUUCUGUAAUUAGUGUAACAUCACCUCUGUAACCAACUAGGUACCUUAUUCUAAGUAAAGCUGUAAAUAAAUACACAUAAUUUAAUUCUGUUAUUAAAUAAUUAAUUAAACAAUAAAAUUAAGAAUAAUAACACUAAUAACAAUGCAAAUAAAUAUUAUUAUUUAUUUCAAAUAAAACCAAGAUUUCACUUAUGAGAUACUGAUCUAUUUAUACUACAAUAUAAUACAAAUAGGCCAUUAAUAUAUACAUGCUGUACAAUAAAUAGGAAAGCCCUCAUUUCUUCAUAAUUCUAGAAUAAAGGGAACUCAAGCCAUAGACACAACAAAUCCCAUUAUUGCAGUUUGACAGGAAAUCCUAUCCAAGAAGAGUUUCCUCAAUAUAUUCCAGUCCAUCAUUACCGAUCAGUUUUCCUCUGAUUCUUAUUUUCUGAAUAACCCAGUCGGUAUUGCAUGU